UCGGUGCCCCAUUCACCCUUACAGCAGGUCGGAGGGCCUCCCUGCCCGCCUGCCCAGCCUGCCAGCCCCUUCCCUCAACCCCCGUUGUUCUGUUCUGGCUGCACUGGCCUUGCCACAGCUGAGUCCCUCACACUUCCCUACGACUUGCCAUUUGACCUGCUGCAGGUUUUGCUAGCCCCCCUCCACCCCUCCACCCCUCCACCCCCGUGCCCCGCAGUUGGAGCGGAAGGGCUAUGUGUGUGGGUGCUGUUGCCUGGCACCUCACGUGGUUAGUGUGUUUAUAGGGUGAAAGAAAUGAAGUAAUGAUUGUAGAAUGUUACUAACCCAGUCGGCUGUGUUACUAACUUACAGAAUGGUUAACUGUAUUGGCCUGUUGCCAGUUCCCAUGCAGGCGUCCCUUCCCCAAGGGUCUGGGUUCGAGUCCUGGCUCUGGCUCCCUGCCAGUGCACACCUUGGCAGGUAGCAGGGACCACUCAGGCAGUGAGGGUCCUGCUUUGAGUUUUUGGUCCGCAGCGUUGGCCUUGUUGGGCCACACUGUGGGCUGUGAUGGGGAGAAGCAGCAGGUAGGAGCACAUGCCCACACUCCUGGGCAGCUUAAAGCGGUGACAGCAGUUACAGGAUAACAACAACUCAGACAGGGGAGGAGACUGAAGUUAGAAUAAGGGGCAGAUCACAAGAGAACACCUGCAGGAGUGACGCGCAGGGUCUGUAAUGUACAUAAACAAGGACUCCACGAAUGGAGGGAGCCCCUGAAACGUGGGGCAGAGGGGGCGUCACUGGUCUCCCUGCUGCACCUGCAGGAGCUGGGCUUGGUGCUCUGGCGAAGCAGCUGGCACCUAGAUUCCCACGGAAAGCUCCAAGUCCUCAGGCGUCCUGACUCAAUCCUUGGAUUUCGGUUCUAGAGAAACACCGCACCCUGGACAGCAGGCUGAGAACAGGAGUGGCCAGACUUCCUCAAAGUUAUGGUCGCCAUCCACGAGCCAGCCUUGGCUGAUUGGAGUCAUUCACCUUCGGCUUGCAUUGAAGCGGGGGCGGGCGUGCACCGGGAUUCCUUGUGGCUGAGAUUGGAAAGAACAGCGUGUGUGUGGGUCUGAGGCACUGAACGCCCAUGCGGUGCCUCUGUAAGAUAAAGUGGCUUUCCAAGUGUGUUAGACGUAUGUGUGCAAGAGGUGUGGCAAAGCCACUGCUCCCUGCACGCGUGUCAGUGCAUCAGUCCUACCUCACAGAGAACCUGGCUAACUGGGCGGCUCCGGCUUCCCGCGGGGAGACUGUAGGUGCAGGGAGCAAAGAGUGGGUACCCAGGCAAGCCCUGGAACCUCUGGGUGGCAGUGACAAGGGGUGUGGGCUUUCAGAGUUAGAUGAGUUAGGUUGUUGACAUGCUGGCUACUAAGCAAACCCUUGGGCAGGGCCACCUGCAGGAGCUGGGCACUGGGCACUGGGCACUGCCCCUUGCGCUUGCUCCUUGGGAGAGUGAGGAGUUACAGCAGCACAGCCAACUGUGUCUCCUUCCAGAAAUCUUGCUGCUAGGAUUGUUUUGUAUGGAGUUAAUGAAAUAGGUGUGCCACAUGCAAGUGAGUGUGAGACCCUCGGAAGAAGCAGAACCAUUACAAGGCUGGGGAUUGCUUGAGCGUGACCUGCUGAGAUGCCCAGGCACAGUGCGUGGGACAGUGUGUGAGACGAGGCCACCUGAGGCAGCGUGUGUCUGGAGCAUGGAGCAGGCCUGCUCAGACACACACUCCUCACAUGGGACAGGCUUAGCUAUUGAUUCUUUAUCAGUGUCUUCUAAUAUUCAACAAGGAGCAUGUAUUAUGCAUGUAAUAAGAUUGUCCAGGAAAGUCUUCUAUCUUACAUGUUAGAAGUUGGAAUAACAUUGAACUUGGUGGCAGCUCUUCCUUGGCCCUCAUCCUGCGUGGCCCUGGCUGUGCUCUGUCAGAGUCUCCUGGAAAGUGUGCUGUUGUCUCGUUGUGAGAGAGCUCGGAGAUCCCGAGAAGUGGGGAGGCAAAGGGAACCAGAGCCAGCGCCACCCACCCUGGGGUUGACCCCCUCAAAGGCUGCUUCCAGCAAGGAUGUGGUUAACUGACUCGCCAGGUGCUGGGGCCGCCGACUUCCUGCAUGGGUGGCAGCCUGCCUGGGCGUGGCCUCCUCCGGGGCUGCAGGCUGAUUGGCCCAAUCUUGUGACCGCCUGUUCCCCUCUGAGUCCAGGAAGCAGCUAGGAGCCUGAGUAGCCGGCUGGGCAGUACCACGGUGUCGUGGCCCUGCUCAGACGCGGAAGGACUCGGAGGCAAGAUGGUCCUCCAGAUGGAAGAGGAGCAGCAGCCAGUGCCCGCUGACCUGACUGCAGAGGAGCGGCACGAGCUGGAGAACAUCCGGCGGAGAAAGCAGGAGCUGCUGGCCGACAUUCAGAGGCUGAAGGAUGAGAUAGCGGAAGUGGCUAAUGAGAUCGAACACCUCGGGUCCACAGAGGAGAGGAAAAACAUGCAGAGGAACAAACAGGUGGCCAUGGGCAGGAAGAAGUUUAACAUGGACCCUAAGAAGGGGAUCCAGUUCCUGAUAGAGAGCGACCUGCUCAAGAACUCCUGUGAGGACCUGGCGCAGUUCCUGUACAAGGGAGAAGGGCUCAACAAGACGGCCAUCGGUGACUACCUGGGGGAGAGAGAUGAGUUUAACAUUCAGGUCCUUCAUGCCUUUGUGGAGUUACACGAGUUCACAGACCUCAACUUGGUCCAGGCUCUUCGGCAGUUCCUGUGGAGCUUCCGGCUCCCUGGGGAAGCACAGAAGAUCGACCGUAUGAUGGAGGCCUUUGCCCAGCGCUACUGCCAGUGCAACCCUGGCGUGUUCCAGUCCACAGACACCUGCUACGUGCUUUCCUUUGCCAUCAUCAUGCUGAACACCAGCCUGCACAACCCCAACGUCAAGGAUAAGCCUACGGUGGAGAGGUUCAUUGCCAUGAACCGGGGCAUCAACGACGGGGGCGACCUUCCCGAAGAGCUGCUCAGGAAUCUGUAUGAGAGCAUAAAAAAUGAACCCUUUAAAAUCCCCGAGGAUGACGGCAACGACCUUACCCACACGUUCUUCAACCCAGACCGAGAAGGCUGGCUGCUGAAGCUUGGCAGUGCAUGGCAACCUAGAGCCUGGCUGAGCCCCCCACCGCACUCCUCCUCGAGCAGCAGUGCGGCCCUCCUCUGCAGCCCAGUGAUUUUGUUCAUUCUGACACAUGCUCCCUCGAGCUGUAGGACCGAGUCACCAGGGGAAAGCCAUCACCUCGUGGUGGCCACGUGUGCCUGUUGCAUUCAUUGUUCAGCUAGAGCGCUAGACCCGGGACGUAAUGGUGUCCACUGCCUGAGCCUCUCGGAGUAUAGUUUCCUCUUCAUGCUCAGGCGAGUUGGGUGCCACCGUAAUACAGUGCUACAGCAGUGCCCCUCACCCAUCUCGGCUCACGGUGCAGUGGGGUCUCUGGUUUCUGAGCUGCCAAGACAGCCAUUGACAUGUUCUGUCAAUAGUGCAUCCCCAGUACUUACAUAUCAUGACUUAAUUCAUAAUUCAGUUCCCCUUAAGGCAGCACUUUUACUAAUGGGAGCUUUCACUUUCCUCUGAUUGGCUGACAUCUUGUUUAUCUGUGGCCCAGGAGCAUCCUGGACGUUAGGGUUCUGAAGUUCCUGGCCACAGGCAGCCCUGCGGGAAGACUUCCGGUGUGUCCGACUUUGGGUUUACUUCCCUCCUAGUGAGAUUUGUGUAAAUGCUGCUGCUGAGUACGCCCCGACAGUGCAGAUGCUAACACUGGGACAGGACCCAGGGUGACGUGCAGAUGCGUGACAUGUGCCAUGUUGCUGAAAACAGAACUGAGCGACCUUGGGGAUUCUUCCAGAUUGCGUAUUACUUUUUCUAACCCUCCGCCAACCCCUUCUGAACCCUGACUGUCAUGUUCUCGUUGUGGCACAUGUGGUCACUCCUGCGUGUGUGGCCUGCAGAAGGCCGGGCUGCCGGCUGUCACAGCUGUGCGUACACGUCUGUGUGCAGGAAGCCGUACAGCUGUGUACUCUGUGCACACACGUGUGUGUGUUUGUGGGCUGGUGUGUACAUUCUUACACACACUCUAAAAUUACAGAGACCAAAGUAAUCUUUCGUCUCUCUGCUCUAGAUUCUAAAUAGCCUGAUACAUGUUGGCUUUGUCAACCUGGUUUGUGGCGUCAGUGGGGCUCCAGCCUUGCCUCUGGCAGGUGGGAUGUGGUGGAGGGGAGUGCGUGCCGCCCCCCACUCAGUGGCAGCCGAGUCAGUGCCUCAGUAGGGCUCCCGGCUUCAGCGCCCAGCAAGAAAGGCAGGAAUGAGACUGACUUGUUGCACUUGAAGAUUGAGGAACUGGGUUUAAUUUCUUUGUUUUAAUUUUCUUUUCUCCCUCAUUUGUAUGUUCCCUGAUUUUGGCUCUCCUUUUCCUUGCCCCAACUCCAGGAGGUGGCAGAGUAAAGACUUGGAAAAGGCGCUGGUUCAUCCUGACGGACAACUGCCUCUACUACUUUGAGUACACCACGG